rnacentral:rRNA from 1 species
CCUACGGGAGGCAGCAGUGAGGAAUAUUGGUCAAUGGCCGUAAGGCUGAACCAGCCAAGUCGCGUGAAGGAAGAAGGAUCUAUGGUUUGUAAACUUCUUCUAUAGGGGAAUAAAGGUAUCCACGUGUGGAUAUUUGCAUUUACCCUAUGAAUAAGCAUCGGCUAACUCCGUGCCAGCCGCCGCGGUAAUACGGAGGAUGCGAGCGUUACACGGAUUUGUUGUGUUUAAAGGGUGCGUAGGUUGUUUUUUAAGUCAGCGGUGAAAGUUUGGGGCUCAACCAUAAAAUUGCCGUUGAAACUGGAAGACUUGAGUGUGUUUGAGGUAGGCGGAAUGCGUGGUGUAGCGGUGAAAUGCAUAGAUAUCACGCAGAACUCCGAUUGCGAAGGCAGCUUACUAAGCCAUAACUGACACUGAAGCACGAAAGCGUGGGGAUCAAACAGGAUUAGAUACCCCUGUAGUC